AUGGCGCCAUCGACCAAGCUCUUCCUCCUGCUCCUCGGUCUGAACCUGAUGGUCGCCGCUGCGCACAACGGAUGCGGACCCCACUGCCCGACCAACGGCUCGUGCCCGAUCGACACGCUGAAGCUGGGCGUGUGUGCCAACGUGCUGAACCUGCUAAAGCUCGGGCUCGACGUGCCACCCAGCGAGCCGUGCUGCCGGCUGCUGGCCGGUCUGGCCGACCUGGAUGCGGCCGUGUGCCUCUGCACCGCCAUCAGGGCCAAGGUCCUCGGCGUAAAUCAACCUCAACGUCCAUGUCGACCUCGUGCUCCUGCUCCACCAGUGCCACAAAGACCUGCCCGCCCGACUUCACCUGCCCGCUCUGA
rnacentral:rRNA from 1 species